AUGUAUUUGUGACCGUGAGCUUUUAACUUGUGAGUACCAUGAGCGCCCUCUGCUGGGGCCCCUGCAGACAUGCGUCAUGAGCCCCGUGCCCCGUUGCCAGGUUACACUCUCCGUGGUGAGUUGACUUAUUAAGAGCUCCGUUAAAAAACGAUGAAAUAAGUCUGUUUUUCUGAGUAAAAGUAAGUUUUAUUAAUGUGCCAUGUUUCAGAGAUCCUCUUACAAUAAUUAUCAAAGACUUUUGUGUUGAUAUUGAUUUGUUUUAGUUGAGUUAUUUCAACUCUCCACGUUUUUAUGCUUUUCCAGCUGAGUUUUAGCUUCAUCAUUUGUUGUCGUGGUGUAGCUGACUUCACCAACAGUUAGCUUGAUUUUCUUCUCUCUGUUUAAGUAAAUACUGGAGCUUACUACCAAAGAAGUGGCUGUGACAGAGACCUACAUUUUAUAUACAUGUUAAAUGUUUGGCCUGUCUGCAUUAUCCUGUCCCUGUGUGAAUGUUAAAGCUGUUAACCACCAAAGUGUCUGUGUGAGCGUGCUCAUUUUUCUUCUGUUAUUAUCAGAAUAAACGGCUGCUGGUGCCAAAAGUGAGUUUUUAUACCUGGUUCAUCACAACACAAUGCUCCAGGAAUUCUUUCACUGAUCCCGAAGAAAAUACAAGAGUUUAUUUUUCAUUCACCGUAUUCUAAGAUAUUUCUCUAAACAUAAACGACACCAUCUGUGCUGUGCUUUGGUCAAAAUAAAACAUGAAUCAAGCACCAGAGGAGGUUUGUGACCCUGUAUAAACCAGCUCUCUCAGAACGCUCCGUGUGGGUAGAGAUACCAGGGGAGGGUAUUGUUUUACCUGAAUCCAACUUGUGAUGUCACAAGGAGAGCAAAUCUGAAACGGAGAAUUUUUCUCUGUGUUGUAAGACUUAUGCAGACCACAAUCAAAGGACUGGAUGGGUUUAUUUCACAUUUUGUGGGUCAGUAGACUCUCAGGUUACCCAAGUGGAUUUUUCAUAAUAUGCCCCCUUCAAGAGGCAGAAACCUCGAGCAGAUCCAGACUCAUGAUGAAACUGUGUCCCAGCUGGAAAGUUGGAUAGAGGGAGAUUCAGGAAGAAGGAGAGAGACAAACAGAGCAACAACAACAAUGAAUAAAAUAGAUUUAAAGCUACAGUGUCAGUAAUAAUGGUAAAAGUAUGUGAAGUAUUAGCAGUAACAGCUCAGUGUGAUAAUAGACUGAUCAGUCAAAUAUUAACAACUGUAAUGAUGAAACGAGGAGGAGUGAUUAUAUUCAUUAUAGAGGAUCAUUUAUUAACCCCUUACUGUCCCCAUUAUCAUAUCUACUUCUGACAUUAAAGAGUCUAAAAUAUGUUAUGGUAUGAAUUUCAACUUUAAAGUAAAUAUAUACGAUUAAAAAACAAAACACAUUAAAAAAAAGUUUUUUGUUUCUUUGCUCUGUGAAACUUGUAAUUUAUUGCACAUUUCAACUUUACUUUUUCUUUAAAUUUUAUUUUAUUUACCAUUUUGUUUUGUACCUUUUGCACUAUUUAGAAUUUAUUACUGUAAAUAUUAUUUAUCUUAUAUUACCUUAUUUUAUUUUAUCUUAUUUUACCUUAUUUUGAUUGUAUUGCACCGUGGGACGGAGACAAAUGCAAUUUCGAUUCCACUGUAUGUCUGGCAUAUUUUGAAAUUGACAAUAAAGUUGACUUUGACUUUCUGAAUUUAUUGAAUCCUCUUGAUCAACCUGAA